rnacentral:snoRNA from 1 species
UGGAAAUGACCAUUAAAAAAAAAAAAGUUCCCACUAGGUUUUCUAUGAGCUACUUUACCAGCGAUCAACUUACUGGGAACAUUU